GCCGCAAGGUUAAAACUCAAAUGAAUUGACGGGGGCCCGCACAAGCGGUGGAGCAUGUGGUUUAAUUCGAUGCAACGCGAAGAACCUUACCUACUCUUGACAUCCAGAGAACUUAGCAGAGAUGCUUUGGUGCCUUCGGGAACUCUGAGACAGGUGCUGCAUGGCUGUCGUCAGCUCGUGUUGUGAAAUGUUGGGUUAAGUCCCGCAACGAGCGCAACCCUUAUCCUUUGUUGCCAGCGCCGGGAACUCAAAGGAGACUGCCAGUGAUAAACUGGAGGAAGGUGGGGAUGACGUCAAGUCAUCAUGGCCCUUACGAGUAGGGCUACACACGUGCUACAAUGGCGCAUACAAAGAGAAGCGACCUCGCGAGAGCAAGCGGACCUCAUAAAGUGCGUCGUAGUCCGGAUUGGAGUCUGCAACUCGACUCCAUGAAGUCGGAAUCGCUAGUAAUCGUGGAUCAGAAUGCCACGGUGAAUACGUUCCCGGGCCUUGUACACACCGCCCGUCACACCAUGGGAGUGGGU
rnacentral:rRNA from 1 species